rnacentral:rRNA from 1 species
UACGUAGGUGGCAAGCGUUGUCCGGAUUUAUUGGGCGUAAAGCGAGCGCAGGCGGAAAGAUAAGUCUGAUGUGAAAGCCCCCGGCUUAACCGAGGAAUUGCAUCGGAAACUGUGUUUCUUGAGUGCAGAAGAGGAGAGUGGAACUCCAUGUGUAGCGGUGGAAUGCAUAGAUAUCACGCAGAACUCCGAUUGCGAAGGCAGCUUACUAAGCCAUAACUGACACUGAAGCACGAAAGCGUGGGGAUCAAACAGG